rnacentral:rRNA from 1 species
UACGAAGGGUGCAAGCGUUACUCGGAAUUACUGGGCGUAAAGGGUGCGUAGGUGGUUUGUUAAGUCUGCUGUGAAAUCCCCGGGCUCAACCUGGGAAUGGCAGUGGAUACUGGCAAGCUAGAGUGCGGUAGAGGGUAAUGGAAUUCCCGGUGUAGCAGUGAAAUGCGUAGAGAUCGGGAGGAACACCAGUGGCGAAGGCGGCUACCUGGACCAGCACUGACACUGAAGCACGAAAGCGUGGGGAGCAAACAGG